UCGUUUACAAAUAUAUUUCUGCCCGUUAUUGAUUUACUAUCGUCGCCCUAAAUUACGCAAAUUUAUCUUCGCUCCAAAUACCACUUCAGAUACUUCCACCAGGAGGUUUUGCCUAAGAGAAUAUCUGGAGCUUUCAAGUGGAAAAGUUGGCAUUGUGGGAAGUAAACAAAGACACCUUAAAUAAAAUAAAACGAAUGAAACAAAGAAAACCACAGAGGCACUACCAAUGCCGUCAUGAGCGGUUUGUGAGAGAGGAACAAGUUCGUUAUGUGGGACUUGAUAGUCCUGAUAGACUUCGCUGUGACUGGCAACUCAUUGUAAAUUAAGUUAAACUCGAACGGGUCGGGACACCAGUACUAGUUUUGCUUGCUUCUUUUUAAGCUUUUGUCUCGGUGCCAACAAACGAAUAAACGAGUUGUUGUACGUGUCUCCAAUACAGUUACGAAACACGUCGAGUUGACCACUGAUCAGGCGACAACUGUUAAAAUGAAUUUUGCAAAAAAAACUGGAUAAGCAACUUCAAGAGAAUUAUUCAAACUCACAUUUCUUACAAACAUUGAUAAUUUUUUGGCUGGACAAGUUUGAAUAAACAUGUUUCGUGAACUAAUUUUGAGAAAGCAGACAGAAAUGAAAAGGGUUAAAAUAGAUUGUCAAAAGCUUCAGUGGCAUCAUUUGUUUAAAUAAUAAAUAUUUGCUUCGGACUGUCAAGAUUGGAGCGCGUUGGAAAGUAAAAGGCGUUGAUGGCGAGAGGGAAUGCGAUUGUGGCGCUGGUGGCUAACGAAAACGCAACACCCGCAGCAAACGAAAUGAAUUAUUCAACAUCGGUAUGCAAAGGUCGAGUAGCCCGCAAUCGGUGCGGCAGUUGUGCGCCGGCCGCAACCGCCGUCGUCGCCGCCACCAAUGCUGGAACAACUGGGGCGAAAUAAGCGCCCUUCGCUCUCUCGCCAUCGUCAUAAACUAGC